rnacentral:siRNA from 1 species
AUAGUGGAAUACAUAGCUACACCA